rnacentral:rRNA from 1 species
GUGGGGAAUAUUGGACAAUGGGCGAAAGCCUGAUCCAGCCAUGCCGCGUGUGUGAAGAAGGUCUUCGGAUUGUAAAGCACUUUAAGUUGGGAGGAAGGGCAGUAAGUUAAUACCUUGCUGUUUUGACGUUACCGACAGAAUAAGCACCGGCUAACUUCGUGCCAGCAGCCGCGGUAAUACGAAGGGUGCAAGCGUUAAUCGGAAUUACUGGGCGUAAAGCGCGCGUAGGUGGUUUUGUAAGUUGGAGGUGAAAUCCCCGGGCUCAACCUGGGAACUGCCUCCAAAACUGCAUGACUAGAGUACGGUAGAGGGUAGUGGAAUUUCCUGUGUAGCGGUGAAAUGCGUAGAUAUAGGAAGGAACACCAGUGGCGAAGGCGACUACCUGGACUGAUACUGACACUGAGGAGCGAAAGCGUGGGGAGCAAACAGGAUUAGAUACCCGUGUAGUCC